GGGGUUUGGAAGCCAGACCUCUACAGGGCGAACCAGACACUUUCAAGAUUAAACCUUAACGGGAAAAGGAAGAAAAAUCAGAUAAUAUCCUUUCUGCCGUCCCUGAAUACCGUGAGGAGUUCAAAGGUUCCCCGAGCCUGGGGCACUUGGCAAUUAUAAUUACACAGUAAAAUCCCGAAGGUUAAUGAAUAACCUCUAAAGGAAGUUGCUUCACAUAAUGACGGCAAUUUCUCUGAACUAAAUGUUAAUAAUAAGGCCGGUAAUACUAUGAGAAGGAAAUGGUGGCAAUUGGCAAAGGGAACUCUGUUGCUUGGUAACAACCUGAGAUUCCUGGAACCACUCCUGAGCCUUGGUGCAGUGGAUCUAGAUCAGUAUCUGGGAAUCUGCCUUUCAAAUCUCCAUGAUCAUCAGCGCACUGGGGAAACCACUGCUCUAAGAACUAAUGGAAACCCUCUGUUCUCACUCAGAAAUGCACGAAGUCCCGGUGCAAGAACACUUCAGGGAGACUGAGUCCCAGUGCCCCGUUCAGCAGGAACAGAUUCUGCCUUUUUCCCUCAGCGUGGACAGUCUCAUGAUCUGAACAGCAGAACCGGAGCGUCGGACCCUCCGUGAACAAAGCCCUGCUCUUCUGGACCUUCCCUUAGCUGACGAUGGCAUUGCCACCCAAGGAACCAGGUUCUCCUGGAGACCUUCGGCCACCACGCGGUCCUGUGUGCUCCUGCACCGCCCACGUGGCCACUGCUUAGAUAAAGUGAGCACUGCGGUGACAACAGGGACGCACCCUAGGCCACCUGUACGUCCUGGUACCAGCUUGGCCUGCAAGGACACAGGUGAGGAUGCUCGUGCCCCCUCCCACUCCAUUUCAGGUUCACCUCCAGUCCUCGUGCCCCCUGGUGGGUGGGGACAGAUGCACGACUUCAGGUCCAGUGCUGACUGGGGCUCUGCCCUCCGGCCAUCCAAGUCAAACCCCUUGGCGUUUCUGAACUCCACUCAUCUGCCUUCCGGGGGCUCAGAAGCCCAGACCUGCCACCGCGACCUGCCCCACUCCACAGCCCCCUGCCCUCCCCAGCCCACCCUGUUCUGCCGGGCUCUGCCUCUCGCCUGCACCCCCCAGAUCCCUGUCCCCCAAAUCUUACCUAAGGCUUUCAUCCUGUUUUCCCUAACUUUUGGGAAUCACCUCUAUAAAGCCCUAUGUCUCUCCCAAGUACCAAAAUCAGCAGAAACACUUCUCAAACCGACCGCAUCUGUUACUCAUCAAGGAUGAGCUAAUUCUCCAUAUCCUCAUGAUUUUGGAGCAAAGCCAGUUCACUGCUUUCCAGAUUGCCAGUGGGGGUUCUGCGAGGUCCCCCGUGUGUCCCAGAGCAGACCUCGUCUCCUAGCAAUCUGAGCUGGUAAAUUAAUUCACAAGCUCCAGUCCCGGAGCCCACAAGGUAGAGAAAAGGGUUUUUCCCUCCUCCACACGUGGCUUGAGCGUGCUGCACGCGUGUAUGUUCAACAAAUGAUGUUUGAAAAGAUAAAACCAUUUCGUUUAGAAAAUCUUGACCUCAGUUCUGUCCACACAAACCCCUCCGUUCAUUCAGCA